CUCUACUAAACUCUAGCAACAGGCAUCGCUACUUGACCCAUUUACUUCCUACUUGAUCCCAGGUUCGACUCUUGAGAUUGCUGCUUGACUUUGUUGUUUCAUCUGGACUAUUUUUCGUGCAUUUUCGUUUAAAGGUUUGAAAUUUAUUUCUCGGAUUCUUGAUUUUCUGUUAUGUGUUUCUGGGACUAAUUUUCUUGCUUUAACAUUUCACCCUCUCAAAUUUGUUUAUUCUUCUUCUUUUGAAUCGUGUAUAAACUAGUGUCUGGUUAGGGUAUCGCGUCGUUCUGGAUAUUGUUUCCUCAAGCGGAAUGUUAGAUUUUUAUUGGCCAGUUUCAGAAAAUCUUUCCGACUUGAUUCUGCCUCCAACUCCUUUAAAACAAAGAAGAUAGUGAUGUGUGUGUGCGCACGCGCUACUGAAGAUUUAUUUCUCUGUUCUAAUUUUGUUCUAAUUUUUCACAGUCAAGAUCUAAUUUCAAAAUUUGAGUAACUCAAAAAACGCUUUUCUACUUGUUCAGGAAGAAUCAACUUUUGAAAAGCAUGAGAUCUACAUACAUGACGAUUCUAGAAAGAUAAGCUUGCACUAAUAGUUGAGGAUAAGGGAAGUGAAGAUGCCGGUAGACUAAUCUACAAUCAUUGCACAAGGAGAUGCAAUAUUCUUCUUUUCGGUUGGUGAUGGAAGUGGAUCAUCUGCUGUUACAGGAUCAUCCCCACAUGCUGAAGCUCCAUC